rnacentral:rRNA from 1 species
GUAGGGAAUAUUGGGCAAUGGAUGCAAGUCUGACCCAGCCAUCCCGCGUGCCGGAAGAAGGCCCUCAGGGUUGUAAACGGCUUUUGACGGUGAAGAAUCGACAGGAUGCGUCCUGUUUUGACGGUAGCCGUUGAAUAAGCACCGGCUAACUCCGUGCCAGCAGCCGCGGUAAUACGGAGGGUGCGAGCGUUGUCCGGAUUUAUUGGGUUUAAAGGGUGCGUAGGCUGGAAGGUCAGUCAGCGGUGAAAAGCUGUCGCUUAACGAUAGUCUUGCCGCAGAUACUUCCUUUCUUGGAUGAGGAGGAGGCCAGUGGAACGGAUGGUGUAGCGGUGAAAUGCAUAGAUAUCAUCCAGAACACCGAUUGCGAAGGCAGGUGGCUGUACCUUAAUCGACGCUGAUGCACGAAAGCAUGGGGAGCAAACAGGAUUAGAAACCCUAGUAGUCC